rnacentral:rRNA from 1 species
UACGAAGGGGGCUAGCGUUGCUCGGAAUUACUGGGCGUAAAGGGCGCGUAGGCGGCAGCUGUUAGUCAGGCGUGAAAGUCCUGGGCUCAACCUGGGAACUGCGCUUGAUACGGCAGAGCUAGAGGAUGGAAGAGGCUCGCGGAAUUCCCAGUGUAGAGGUGAAAUUCGUAGAUAUUGGGAAGAACACCGGUGGCGAAGGCGGCGAGCUGGUCCAUUACUGACGGCUGAGGCGCGACAGCGUGGGGAGCAAACAGG